CGGACGGGUGAGGAAUACAUCGGAAUCUACUCUGUCGUGGGGGAUAACGUAGGGAAACUUACGCUAAUACCGCAUACGACCUACGGGUGAAAGCAGGGGAUCUUCGGACCUUGCGCGAUUGAAUGAGCCGAUGUCGGAUUAGCUAGUUGGUGAGGUAAUGGCUCACCAAGGCGACGAUCCGUAACUGGUCUGAGAGGAUGAUCAGUCACACUGGAACUGAGACACGGUCCAGACUCCUACGGGAGGCAGCAGCC
rnacentral:rRNA from 1 species